rnacentral:tRNA from 1 species
GACAACGUGGCCGAGCGGUUAAGGCGAUUGACUAGAAAUCAAUUAGGGUUCCCCUGCGUAGGUUCAAGUCCUGCCGUUGUCG